CUCCGGUUGAUCCCGCCGGACCCGACUGCUAUCAGAGUGAGAUUAAGCCAUGCGAGUUAACGUAGCAAUACGUGGCGCACGGCUCAGUAACACGUAGUCAACAUGCCCAGAGGACGUGGAUAACCUCGGGAAACUGAGUCUAAACCGCGAUAAGUGAGGAUUUCUGGAAUGGUUCCUGACUAAAAUCUAUAUGGCCUCUGGAUUGGACUGCGGCCGAUCAGGCUGUUGGUGAGGUAAUGGCCCACCAAACCUGUAACCGGUACGGGCUCUGAGAGGAGGAGCCCGGAGAUGGGCACUGAGACAAGGGCCCAGGCCCUAUGGGGCGCAGCAGGCGCGAAACCUCUGCAAUAGGCGAAAGCCUGACGGGGUUACUCUGAGUGACUUUCGCUAAGAAAGUCUUUUGGCACCUCUAAAAAGGGUGCAGAAUAAGGGGUGGGCAAGUCUGGUGUCAGCCGCCGCGGUAAUACCAGCACCCCGAGUGGUCGGGACGAUUAUUGGGCCUAAAGCAUCCGUAGCCGGUUCUGCAAGUCCCCCGUUAAAUCCAGCUGCUCAACAGAUGGGCCGCGGAGGAUACUACAGAGCUAGGAGGCAGGAGAGGCAAGCGGUACUCAGUGGGUAGGGGUAAAAUCCGCUGAUCCAUAGAAGACCACCAGUGGCGAAGGCGGCUUGCCAGAACGCGCUCGACGGUGAGGGAUGAAAGCUGGGGGAGCAAACCGGAUUAGAUACCCGGGUAGUCCCAGCUGUAAACGAUGCAGACUCGGUGAUGGGUUGGCCUCGCGCCUGCCCAGUGCCGCAGGGAAGCCGUUAAGUCUGCCGCCUGGGGAGUACGGUCGCAAGACUGAAACUUAAAGGAAUUGGCGGGGGAGCA
rnacentral:rRNA from 1 species